rnacentral:rRNA from 1 species
AGUGAACGCUGGCGGUAGGCCUAACACAUGCAAGUCGAACGGCAGCACAGUAAGAGCCUGCUCUUACGGGUGGCGAGUGGCGGACGGGUGAGGAAUACAUCGGAAUCUACUUUUUCGUGGGGGAUAACGUAGGGAAACUUACGCUAAUACCGCAUACGACCUACGGGUGAAAGCAGGGGAUCUUCGCACCUUGCGCGAUUGAAUGAGCCGAUGUCGGAUUAGCUAGUUGGCGGGGUAAAGGCCCACCAAGGCGACGAUCCGUAGCUGGUCUGAGAGGAUGAUCAGCCACACUGGAACUGGGACACGGUCCAGACUCCUACGGGAGGCAGCAGUGGGGAAUAUUGGACAAUGGGCGAAAGCCUGAUCCAGCCAUACCGCGUGGGUGAAGAAGGCCUUCGGGUUGUAAAGCCCUUUUGUUGGGAAAGAAAAGCAGCAGGUUAAUACCCCGCUGUUCUGACGGUACCCAAAGAAUAAGCACCGGCUAACUUCGUG